UUCCGCAUUUACACCACCUAGCUCCUGGAUUGCGACUGACACCAGCGCCAAGAUUGUGUUGUGAAUUUUUUUUCGAUUUUUUUUUUCGGUCUUUCGUUUAAUCUCCAUUGGUUUUUCCUCCUCCAGGCUCCAGCCUUUCAUGAUUUCCUUCCCUCUCCCCCACAAACGCUCUUGCAGACUUCUGUAUCCUUCCUCCUCAUACGGAGAUUUUUUAAAAAACAAACACACCAAAACUCUGACAUCCUUUUCUUCUUCUUCUUCUUCCAGCUGCUACAGGCUUUAAACUGUGCUCACUUUCUGCCGCGGGAAUACUACAGACUUGAAGAAAUGAAAUCAAGAAGCUUUUGGUCACGUCUGGUGUUGCUUGAGGUUUUCCUAUCCAUCACUUGGGGGUGGAUGGAAUCGGACAGCAUCAGAAGGCUUUAUGCGGAUGCAGGGAGGUUGCAACAAAAGGAAUCCAGAAGCUUUGAAGGCACAAGAAGAAAAGGUAGGAAAAAUAUAGGUUUUUUCCCCCCCUCAAUUUGUUUGUCAUUGUUGA